CCUACGGGAGGCAGCAGUGAGGUAUAUUGGUCAAUGGACGAGAGUCUGAACCAGCCAAGUAGCGUGAAGGAUGACUGCCCUAUGGGUUGUAAACUUCUUUUAUAUGGGAAUAAAACGUUCCACGUGUGGGAUUUUGUAUGUACCAUAUGAAUAAGGAUCGGCUAACUCCGUGCCAGCAGCCGCGGUAAUACGGAGGAUCCGAGCGUUAUCCGGAUUUAUUGGGUUUAAAGGGAGCGUAGGUGGAUUGUUAAGUCAGUUGUGAAAGUUUGCGGCUCAACCGUAAAAUUGCAGUUGGAACUGGCAGUCUUGAGUAUAGUAGAGGUGGGCGGAAUUCGUGGUGUAGCGGUGAAAUGCUUAGAUAUCACGAAGAACUCCGAUUGCGAAGGCAGUUCACUGGACUGCAACUGACACUGAGGCUCGAAAGUGUGGGUAUCAAACAGGAUUAGAUACCCCAGUAGUC
rnacentral:rRNA from 1 species